rnacentral:lncRNA from 1 species
ACUGCAGUACUGCUUUUGGGUCAAAUCCUGCGAGCCUUCUAUCAAGAUCAUUUCUAUCCUGAACUCAGAAGUGACCUACAACCGUUUCAAGACUCUAGCAAGUGCUAUCCAGACGUCGGAGAGUGGUAUCAAAUAUACAGGAAUUACAACUAUGACCCAGUUUUCGGUGGAACUGCGAAGUGCGUAAAGUACAGUCGAUACGGAACAUACCAGAACUUCACAACGUCAUCAGCGUUCUCAUACGGGCAAGGAGUAACCGAGUUUGUAAAGGGCGAGAUGACCUUGAGUCCAUCAUCAUGCUACUCGGCCAGAAACACUCUAAAAUUUGUGCCAUAUAACAACUCUGGUGACGUGAUUGAAGAAAAGUGUCAAGUAAUUUACACGGACUGCGACACCUGCUUCAUAUCUCGUCAUCUUUACGUUAAUGACGGAUACGGCUGCACCUUGUGGCGUCGCAUAUCGACGUUCCAUCAGCCAGGUGACUGCUGCGAGUUCAUUUACGACGAGAACUGCGGCACAUCGCCCAAGUACCAAAUAUACCUGCCGUCCUGUGAUCCAGGGCUGGGGAUACCCGGUGUCUAGAAACAUGC